AAAGUUGGUGUAGCUGUCAAAUAACUGGUGUCCCUUUUGUUCCUUCUGCCCUUUUGGUAGCAACCUGCAAGAAGCAAGUCACGAGUUUACACGGAUUGCUAUUUCUCAAAUUCCAUCCAAUAAAGUCAAGCAAAUGGGUCUCUGUAAGCAGAUGACUAAACCAAAACACAUUUUCUAAGGAUAGUUUAGACUUGAAGUGUCACCAGGGAAUAAAGAGAAGAGAUUUUUCUCCAUACUCCCAACUGGAGACAGACGGGGAAAAAAAAAAAUUGUCAUCAAAGACCUAUCAUUCAAUGAACCAGGAAAAGAUCUGACUUCAUCUCUGACAAGUAGGGCAUUGCAAACAAAAUUGUUCUGUGCUGAUGACUGCAGUGAGGACUGGCAGACACUGAGCUGUAAAUACCAGGAGUUCAUAAUAUUUCCUGUGGGAUGAAACACUGACUGCUUAACAAAAUUAGCAGGACUGUUCCAAAACCCCUUCCCAGAGCUCAAGAUCUGACCACACCCUGAAUGCUGGGACCACACAUGAGCAUGUAGAUCUGCUGUCUCAAAGCAGCAAGACAAAAUUACAGUGGAAUCACCACCCAACUAAUAAAUCUUACUGUCGAUGUUGAGGUCCGAAGCAGAAGUAUUUCCAGCCAAACAGCUUAGUACAGGGUCUAACACAUUACCUUCAAGGCUAAGUAGAGGACAUUAGGCUGGAAACAAGACAACUGUAGAGGACUAUGGUGUCACCUGGACACUUCUUACCACAGGUUCCUGAGCAGAUUUUGUCCACAGAAGAGUUAAAAUAAGACUGGGAAAGAAGAUUUUGGAAGAAAGUAGUCCUGAACGACAAUAAAAGACAAACAUUUCUUCUCCA